UACAGAGGGGGCGAGCGUUAUUCGGAAUUAUUGGGCGUAAAGGGCGCGUAGGCGGCUGUACAAGUCAAAGGUGAAAUCCCUCGGCUCAACUGAGGAACUGCCUUUGAAACUGUACGGCUUGAGGCCGGGAGGGGGUAGCGGAAUUCCCAGUGUAGCGGUGAAAUGCGUAGAUACUGGGAGGAACACCAGUGGCGAAGGCGGCUACCUGGACCGGUUCUGACGCUGAGGCGCGAAAGCGUGGGUAGCAAACAGG
rnacentral:rRNA from 1 species